rnacentral:rRNA from 1 species
GACGAACGCUGGCGGCGUGCUUAACACAUGCAAGUCGAACGGAAAGGCUCCAGCUUUCUGGGGUACUCGAGUGGCGAACGGGGGAGUAACACGUGGGUGAGCUGCCCUGCACUUCGGGAUAAGCCUGGGAAACUGGGUCUAAUACCGGAUAGGACCGCACUUUGGUGUGUGUGGUGGAAAGGUUUUUCUGGUGUGGGAUGAGCUCGCGGCCGAUCCGUUUGUUGGUGGGGUAAUGGCCUACCAAGACGGCGACGGGUAGCCGGCCUGAGAGGGUGGACGGGCACAUUGGGACUGAGAUACGGCCCAGACUCCUACGGGAGGCAGCAGUGGGGAAUAUUGCACAAUGGGGGAAACCCUGAUGCAGCGACGCCGCGUGGGGGAUGAAGGCCUUCGGGUUGGAAACUCCUUUCGCUAGGGACGAAGCUUUUUGUGACGGUACCUGGAGAAGAAGCACCGGCUAACUACGUG